rnacentral:rRNA from 1 species
GAAUAUUGGACAAUGGGGGGAACCCUGAUCCAGCCAUGCCGCGUGUGUGAAGAAGGCCUUUUGGUUGUAAAGCACUUUAAGCGAGGAGGAGGAGCUCUUGGUUAAUACCCAAGCUUCUUGAACGUUACUCCCAAAUAAAGCCCCGGCUAACUCUGUGCCCGCAGCCGCGGUAAUACAUAGGGUGCAAGCGUUAAUCGGAUUUACUGGGCGUAAAGCGCGCGUAGUGGGCCAAUUAAGUCAAAUGUGAAAUCCCCGAGCUUAACUUGGGAAUUGCAUGCGAUAGUGGUUGGCUAGAGUAUGGGAGAGGAUGGUAGAAUUCCAGGUGUAGCGGUGAAAUGCGUAGAGAUCUGGAGGAAUACCGAUGGCGAAGGCAGCCAUCUGGCCUAAUACUGACACUGAGGUGCGAAAGCAUGGGGAGCAAACA